rnacentral:tRNA from 1 species
GCUCAAGUGGCGGAAUUGGCAGACGCGCACGGUUCAGGUCCGUGUGGGGUCAAACCCGUGGGGGUUCGAAUCCCCCCUUGAGCACCA